rnacentral:lncRNA from 1 species
CCGGGGCCGUGCCUGUCCCGUGCCUGUCCCGGCGGCGGGGCCGGGCCGGGAUGCGGCGGGGCCGGGAUGCGGCGGGAGCGCGAUGCGCGGCGGGGCGCUGGGGCUGGCGCUGCUCUGCGCCCUCUCCCUGUGCCCGGCGGCCCCCGAGCCGGGCUCCGGGCUGCACUCAGAUGAGGUGAACCUGCUGGACAAAAUCACUCUCCAUGCCCAGGACCUCAGCAAUGUUUCCUUUGGCUACGACCACGGCAAGUGCAGGAUCCUGGAGAUUGGGCAGUAUGCAACCCUCAACAUGCCCACCAGGGAGGCCUUUGGGGACAGGUUUGCAGACGAGCUGAGCGUGCUGCUGAAGCUCAGGUACUCCCUGAAGGAGGACACCAGCCUGGUGACCAUCCUCAGCCACCGCAGCCGCGUGCUCUUCCAGAUCAGGGUUAACCCCUACGCCCUGGUCUUUGUCACCACGAGGAGAAGACACUACGAGUUCCCAGUGUCCUUCCUGGGCGAUGGGCACUGGCACCGGGUGGCUCUCAGCAUCUCCCUGGAGAGGCUGGAGCUGCACGUGGACUGUCGGCUGGUGGACAGAGUCAGCUGGUCCAACCAUUUUGGGAUGGGAGUGAACACUGAGGGGCUGGUCAUCAUUGGAGGCCUCAUCGAGUCCUUCGAGAUCCCCUUUAAGGGCGCUCUCCAACAGCUCACCUUCGUGAUGGGGGACCCUGCAGCAGCUGCUGAGCAGUGCCACAGCUACAACUCGACCUGCCCAGGCUCCUUCAGCCUCCACAGGAUCCCAUGGGAGCUCCCAGCAGCCUGGCCACAGGUGCCAAAGGAAACCAAUGAAAUCCAGGAUUCAUCUACUCAGGACUCCAGACUCACCAGUUCAGAGUUGGCCCUGGGGCCACCUUGGCCAUGGGAGGACACCAAAGGGAUCCUCAACCUCCAGCCUGAUGGGAGUGCCCUGGCUUCCCUGUCUGCUCACGAGAUGCCACCAACUGAGGAUGAGGAGGAGGAGGAGGGCAGCCUUUCCAUCGAGGAUGAAGGCUUUGAGCUGCUGAACUCCACCUACAAUAAAAUCACUGGCCCCAGCAGGCCAGCGCUCAGGAGAACCUCAGGAGCCUCCAUCAAGCCCCCCUCGAGCAGCCAAGAAGGAGCAUGGCUCAGAGCCCCAGGAGGAGAACAUCACCACGGAGAAGCUGUCGGGGGCUGCGGGCACGCAGCUCCUGCCCAGCAAACCCUUCCCCAAGGAGUCCCCCCCUGCUCAUCGGGGGGCUGCUCCCAAAGGAAACGUCCCCAAAGGUCCCCUCAGGGCAGGGGCAGGGCUGGGUGGCCCAGAACCUCCUCCUGGAGCAGGACAUCCUGGAUUGGGGGUGGCACAGCGGGGCUGUGUGGUGAAGCCAGGGCCACCAGGGCUGCCAGGACCACCGGGGCUGCCGGGCUGUCCUGGCCAACGGGGACUGGUGGGACCCAAAGGAGACAAAGGGUACCCGGGGGCCAUGGGCAGGACGGGCCCUCCAGGUGA